UUUUGUUGUCCUUCAGUACCCUUGACCAUCUUCGGCUGGAAGACAGGGCCCCACCCAAUCAUGUAUCAAACAUUUUAUCAAGGGACUGUUUUUAGCUGGCUCAGUCUUUAAUGCCAGUCAAUACAUAGAUGAGAGCAGAUUUCCUUUUUCACCCUGGAAAUGCACACAUCCUUUGUCCCUUCAUAGUAACUCGUCGCCUAUAUUCGCUCAUAUUCCGGCACUCGCUCGUAUAUGGACGCAAUCGCAUACAAAUACGCAGUGGCAUACAGUGCGCAUACAAAUACGCAGUGGCGCACCUUGCGGGUUGAGAACACCUGGAAGACCCCGGCUGCCAGCAGAACGCCGCCAAGGCAUGCUGCUGCCAGCGACGCGGGGUGCUGUUGCCAGCUGUACGCGGCUGUGGCUCCGGCUGUGCCGGCCGCCGCGCUUGGGCUCCCAGACCUGAUUUCGUGGCAUGGCCACGAAGAACCCGGUGAUCAUGGAGGGGUUGAAGGUUGCGACGAAUUGCGGAAUAGAACUGGGUUUGUAGAGGCUUAGAGAAAGAAAGCCGUGCGGGAUCUGAGGAGGGUUAGUGUUCCGACUGGACGACUGUCCGCGCUAGGCUGGGCAGGGGUUGGGGUUAGCGAGGCGCAUCCCUGUCAUAACUCUGGGUAACGUACCUGCCCACGAUCAGCUUUUGGCCAGGCUGCAACAUCGCAUCUGAACGCAGCAUCGCACGCCUCCCACGGUUGGCCCUCGGCAGUGCUUCCUGCAGACCUCCAUGCACCUGGUAUUGAUCAGUCGCUUCGCGGAGGUGCAAGAGUCGCUGUUUAAGUUGCCUCACCUGGAUCUGCUCGACUGAUACGCCAUACGCAAGAGCAAUCUGAGCCAAGGUUUCGCCAGUCUGCGCAAGAAACGCACGUAGGCAUGCCGGGGAUACAUGCCGUUCUUUCGGCCACUAUGGAAACCCCAAAAGCUGGUAUUUAAUUUUUUAUAAGCGCUGUUCAAGUUUAUUUCAAAAACUUCGCUGCCAGGCUGUGACCGAGCUCACCUGUACAGUGUGCAAUGUACCGAGCUCCGCUUCGGCUGCAGCAAACGUAACCCAUAAGCGCUUAUUUGUACGAGAGGACUUCCCUGCAUGGACGCUGUGUCCAGGGAAUGUGGGGCCAUGGAGAUGCGCGCUUCUGCCAAGGGAUGAGGACAUUGAUUUCAUCUUUGCCUGUCAAGUUUCGGCGACGUUUCGCGUUCAGCUACUUAAAGUGCCCUCAGUAGAUGUAUUAGGGAGCAUCAAUGCGUAAUACAGUAGAGUGGACGCCCAGAAAUGUCAGCCAAAACGGGAAGGCGUGAAUUACGACCAUUACAUUCGUCUUGGUUAAGACGUAAAUAGACGCACUUGCUUGUGCGGCCACAUCCAUGUUGCGCGUCUUUCACGAUGGUAUGCAAAGGGCGGUACAUAGCGCAGUUCCGUACGGCAAGGUUAUCUCGAGCUACUUCGCGUUUUAUUCGGGGAACGUCUGUUAUCCUUAUAGAAAGCAGCGGCUCAAUCUCGUUCACUAUCCUAUGGGAAGCAGCAUAGCUCCUUUGGCCUUACAUAGCUCCAUAGGCCUUACCCCAUAUUACCCGGACGCCUGCCGUGCCACACCUAGCCCAACCUAACCCCACGAACCAAACCUUGUCCUCGUCACAAGUGGUCAUGUGCUAUUAUCCUUUGUUCUAACGCUCCUGUUCCUCUCCCGCACCCUCCUGUCCUGCGCUCCUUGCUCCAGCUUUGCGGUCGGUUGACGACAGUGGUACUUUCACACUGGACUGAUCACAGGACUGUCCACAUACGAGGGACUCCUUGG
rnacentral:lncRNA from 1 species